rnacentral:rRNA from 1 species
GACGAACGCUGGCGGCGUGCUUAACACAUGCAAGUCGAACGCUGAAGCUCAGCUUUUGUUGGGUGGAUGAGUGGCGAACGGGUGAGUAACACGUGAGUAACCUGCCCCCUUCUUUGGGAUAACGCCCGGAAACGGGUGCUAAUACUGGAUAUUCACUGGUCUUCGCAUGGGGGGUGGUGGAAAGGGUUUUUCUGGUGGGGGAUGGGCUCGCGGCCUAUCAGCUUGUUGGUGGGGUGAUGGCCUACCAAGGCUUUGACGGGUAGCCGGCCUGAGAGGGUGACCGGUCACAUUGGGACUGAGAUACGGCCCAGACUCCUACGGGGGGCAGCAGUGGGGAAUAUUGCACAAUGGGCGCAAGCCUGAUGCAGCGACGCCGCGUGAGGGAUGGAGGCCUUCGGGUUGUGAACCUCUUUCGCUAAUGGUCAAGCCGCAACAAUGGUUGUGGUGAGGGUAGUGGGUAAAGAAGCGCCGGCUAACUACGUG